rnacentral:rRNA from 1 species
AGAGACAGCAGUCGCCACGGUAAUACGUAGGUGGCGAGCGUUGUCCGGAAUUAUUGGGCGUAAAGGGAGCGCAGGCGGACAUAUAAGUCCAUCUUAAAAGUGCGGGGCUCAACCCCGUGAGGGGGUGGAAACUGUAUGCCUUGAGUGUAGGAGAGGAAAGCGGAAUUCCCAGUGUAGCGGCGAAAUGCGUAGAUAUUGGGAGGAACACCAGUGGCGAAGGCGGCUUUCUGGACUGCAACUGACGCUGAGGCUCGAAAGCCAGGGGAGCGAACGGGAUUAGAUACCCCCGUAGUCCCUGUCUCUUAUACA